rnacentral:rRNA from 1 species
UUCGAGAAUCUUCCGCAAUGCGCGAAAGCGUGACGGAGCGACACCGCGUGAUGGAUGAAGUCCUUCGGGGCGUAAACAUCUUUUAUAAAGGAGGAAAUUUUUGACGUUACUUUAUGAAUAAGGGGCUCCCAAUCUCGUGCCAGCAGGAGCGGUAAUACGAGAGCCUCAAGCGUUAUCCGGAAUCAUUGGGCGUAAAGGGUGCGUAGGUGGUUUGAUUAGUCUCCCGUUAAAACUUCGAGCUUAACUCGAAAAGAGCGGGGGAAACGGUCAAACUAGAGUAUGUGAGAGGUGUGUGGAACUCAUGGUGUAGGGGUGAAAUCCGUUGAUAUCAUGGGGAACACCAAAAGCGAAGGCAGCACACUGGCACAUCACUGACACUGAGGCACGAAACCUAAGGUAGCGAAUGGGAUUAGAAACCCUUGUAGUCC